CUGGAGCAGAACGAAAUUGACAAAAUGACGGCUACAUGGACAGAAAUAAUGAACCGGAAUAAUGGUGAAUUAAAUGAAAGUAAAAUGAAAGUGACCCAGCUUGAGCUGGAAAACAUGCAGCUGAAAACAAAUAAUUAGGCCAAAGAAGUCAAUCUGGUUGAGCUGAAGAACAACUAUUAUGCAAAAGUCAAGGAAUAUAUCAUGAUGGAAUAGAAAAUCAUAGGCAGUCACAGAACGAAAUUGACAAAAUGACGGCUACAUGGACAGAAAUAAUGAACCGGAAGA